rnacentral:rRNA from 1 species
AUUGAACGCUGGCGGCAGGCCUAACACAUGCAAGUCGAGCGGAUGAAGGGAGCGUGCUCCUGGAUUCAGCGGCGGACGGGUGAGUAAUGCCUAGGAAUCUGCCUGGUAGUGGGGGAUAACGUCCGGAAACGGGCGCUAAGACCGCAUACGUCCUGAGGGAGAAAGUGGGGGAUCAUCGGACCUCACGCUAUCAGAUGAGCCUAGGUCGGAUUAGCUAGUUGGUGGGGUAAAGGCCUACCAAGGCGACGAUCCGUAACUGGUCUGAGAGGAUGAUCAGUCACACUGGAACUGAGACACGGUCCAGACUCCUACGGGAGGCAGCAGUGGGGAAUAUUGGACAAUGGGCGAAAGCCUGAUCCAGCCAUGCCGCGUGUGUGAAGAAGGUCUUCGGAUUGUAAAGCACUUUAAGUUGGGAGGAAGGGCAGUAAGUUAAUACCUUGCUGUUUUGACGUUACCAACAGAAUAAGCACCGGCUAACUUCGUG